rnacentral:rRNA from 1 species
UACGUAGGUGGCAAGCGUUGUCCGGAAUUAUUGGGCGUAAAGCGCGCGCAGGCGGUCUUUUAUGUCUGAUGUGAAAUCUCGGGGCUCAACCCCGAGCGGUCAUUGGAAACUGGGAGACUUGAGUACAGAAGAGGAGAGUGGAAUUCCACGUGUAGCGGUGAAAUGCGUAGAUAUGUGGAGGAACACCAGUGGCGAAGGCGACUCUCUGGUCUGUAACUGACGCUGAGGCGCGAAAGCGUGGGGAGCAAACAGG